rnacentral:misc_RNA from 1 species
GAUGAAGAACGUAGUGAAAUGCGAUAAGUAAUGUGAAUUGCAGAAUUCAGUGAAUCAUCGAAUCUUUGAACGCACCUUGCGCUCUUUGGUAUUCCGAAGAGCAUGCCUGUUUGAGUGUCAUGAAAAUAUCAACCUUGACUUGGGUUUUGUGCUCUAGUCUCGGCUUGGAAUUGGGUGCUUGCCGCUUUUACGAGCGGCUCACCUUAAAUGUAUUAGCUGGAUCUGUCUUUGAGACUUGGUUUGACUUGGCGUAAUAAGUAUUUCGCUAAGGACAUUCUUCGGAGUGGCCUCGUUUCUAGGACGCUUGUCCGCUUUCCAAUACAAGUUCCACCUCGUGGACAUGACUUUUUAUUAUCUGGCCUCAAAUCAGGUAGGACUACCCGCUGAACUUAAGCAUAUCAAUAACGGAGGA